GCGCGGAAGGCGGGAGGCUGCGCUGGGCAGGCGCUUCCUCUUCCUUUCCUUUUUCCUCCCCUUUCGCUGUGCCUUCAUUCCCUUCCCACACUGUGGGGGCAGAGCUGGCUCCCCGCGGCCGCUCCCGCCCCACACGGGCAGGACGAAGCUGCGGUGCUCGGCCCGGCCCGGCCAUGAGAGUCGCGGCGCUGCCGUUGGCUGCCUUCGCCCGCUCCCCGCGUCCUGCGGGACGGGGGAAGCUGAGGGGGUUUGGUGGCUUCCAGCGGCACCUCGCCGGCACUUUGCCUUCGCUGACGUAACGCCAGCGAUGGCUGCCAGCCGCAGACUCGUCCCUUCCACCUCACAAGAGCUCUUGCUAACCGGGGCAAGUUCAAAACACAGGCUGAGAUCUCGGUCACAAGACCUCAAGGAUACAGGAGGCAGCUCCCCCUAAAGCAACUUCAUUUUAUUUACAAAAUACCCGCUAGCCUGUUCAUGCGGAAAGGGCCUUGAAUCAGCCACUGCAGGGAAACUGUGCUGUAUGGAAAAAAAAAUCUGGAGGAGGCUUGGCAGAUACCAAGGUGAUUUAGCUGCCUUCACAACAGCAGUGGCUGAAUCUCAAGCUACCACAAUGCAGAGGAUACUGAAGAUUGUCCUCCCCACUGUGUCGCCAGUGUCACCACGCUGUUGGAGUCUGUGGGCUGUCACCCCUCCUCUGAGAUGGGUUUCAAACACAGGGUAAAGGUGCCACAGACAGGUCCAAGAAACGAAAGAUUCCUUUGAAAUGCACCCAGGAUUUUGUUAGGAGGAUUUAGAGGAGUCUUGGAGUAGCUCAAUUUGCCGUGGUGGUGAAGUAUAUGGGCAUCCCUGAAUUUAAGACUGGCUUGACAGACCUGGGAGGAAGCAUAUUUCUAGGUGUAGUGGAUACUGGAGACUUCACUAUUCACUUCAAAGAACACGUGAUCAAGUUCGUAUUGGCACAAGCAGGGCAGGGCUGGAUUUCUCUUCAGUGUGCUUCUCUGCCAAACUCUGUCUAUUAAAAUACAUGAGUGUGUGUUUGAAACAUCAUUUUCCAGCUUUGAAAAAAGAGAUGGUAUUCAAAGACAAACAUUAUUUGCUUAUUUGGAUACUUGCUUUGGUUUGUGGCAAACAUCUGUCAUGAAAUCAGGAAUCUCUAGAGAGGCCUUGCCUGCUCCCACAGAAAUUUUUACAGUCCAAAAUACUGACACAUGGGUGGAAGAGAGAAAGAAUACAACAGUGGGCAGGGCAUUCCCACCAGUGUAACCUCAAAUUGCUCUGACUCUUCCCAGGAUGUGAUGCCUUCCAAAUGAAGACUCAACACAGAAAAUUGUUGCUUGCUCAAGGAGCAGUGAAGACCGAAGUAUCCUCCAGCCACUAAACAGUUCUGGAUUAGAUAAGGCAAUGGAUUUCAUGGAAUAACCCUCAUACAAUGGAAGGAUACUUACAUUGUUGUGCAGUAUGGCAAAGCAGCCUGCAUGGGAGCUGUUUUGGUCAUAAGCCCACAUCACUGUACCAGGAUAGCUUGGCAGCCUGUCCGUGAGUCUUCCCAGAAGCUUUGCAAGUCAGUAAUGCUGUGCAUUGGCAGAACUUUGAGGAAAAAUUAGGCUGUCUUUUGGAAUCGUGCUUGCCUCUAGCAAGUGGUAUUGUUUUCUGUCGUGUACCAGGACUCUUCUGCAGACAAAUGAACAAAAAAAUAAAGCAGAUUUGGAGCACUGCUUUCAAUGAAAGGCCAGACUCUGCCUGGAUUUUUUGCAUCAGGUGGUAUAAGAGCUACCAAGAGUAUUGUGUACCCUUCGCAUAGCAAGUAAGCAAGAAAAAAUGUAUUAAUUUCUCCAGCUAUGUGUGUACACCUGGGGACAAGUGUUGCCAGGAGGGGAAUGGACAAGAGAACCAAGAUGAUUUCAUUGCCCAUUAAAUCCCUACAAGACACAGAAAGGAGAAUCUGUAAUGCCUUCUAUUCAGGUGGCAGGUCUUAGGAGUCUCUUCUCAUUUCAGUGCAGCUGGUUUGGUUUUGGUUUUGUUUUUUUCAUUAAAAUCCUGCUGUUCUUGAAAAAUUCAGUUAAUUGAGAUUUUCUUGAGCAACUGUUUUAGAAAAGAAAACAAAGUAGUGAGCUUCAAAAACAUAAAGACUGGAAUUUAAACUAACCCAGUAUUUAUUAUUAUUUUGAGGUCUUUCAGACAUCUUACUCUAGUUUCUAGGUCUAUAUCACACUUUCACACACAUUCUCAUACCAACUAUCUCUGGAAGUGCAGGUCUUCAUAAAAGCACUACUUUUGCCCGAAAACUCCAUGAAGUACUAUAGUGUUUUACCACUGCAAUGCCAAGGGGGUUUGGGUUGGGGGUUUUUUGAGCAUAAUAUUAAUUAAAUACUUAAGAAAGGUCUGAUACUGCAAACUUCAUCCCAAAAGAUUAUAUGGGGAAUUAUUAGGCAGUGAUUAUUCACAUAACUAAAAACUGUUAAUGUAAAAACAUUUUUACAGUAAUAAAAUCAUAUACCAUAAAUAUUGUAAAUUAUUUGGCAUAUAGGGAGUUCUGAAUUAAAACUGGGAUUUGUUAAUAGAAUACAGUUAUUAUCACUGCUGAGCCUUCUUACAAUGUCUUUUGUAAAUUUUCCCUCCUCCUGAUUUUUCCUUCUUUCAGAAGCUGUGAUCCUGGAAUAGAUGGUUUUGAAACUGAAUUUUAAAUUUCAGGCUUGUAUAAACUAAGUGGUAGAGCCAUUUCAGAAGCUUUGAAUUCACUUUGGGUUGUUCUGUGCUCCAAAAAUUCAUUCAUUUAGUGCUUUGAAGUACAACUGGGAUCAGAGAACACAUUGUCACUGUUAAUAAAAUUGUGUAACCUCAACAUUAUCCAUCCAGUUUUGAAAUAGAGGAGGGGUGGUGCCUGUAUUACUUCACAUAAUCAAAAGAAUAGUUGUUGGUUAAUAAUUGAAAGUUGCAUUCCAUAUAUACGAAACAGUGGAAAUUUCAAAGAUUUCAAAGAUACUUUUAAUAUAUGUAGGAGUAUUGUUUGUCCAUGUGCUGGUAGAAUUAUUGGGAAUUCAAACCUGUGCUGGUGUACCAGAGUUCACUUUUUGUUGUAGUCACGAGACAUUUUUUAUGGAUGACAAUCUUUGCAGUUUUUUUUUUUUAGCUAGUUAUUACUGUGUUGAGCAGCUUGGGAUUUAAGAAAACAUUUUGUUUAAUGUACAUUGAAUCUGUUUUCAUUUUCAAAAGGCUGAUGGCCCCUUGCAUAGCGUAUUAUAGUCUUGAUAAACUGAAUGAAAUUGAAGUAUGAACUGCUCUCUGAGCUGGCCUUACUACUCCAGUGGCUCACUACUUAAGCAUCCAGAAAUUUUGAGUUAAGGUUGCAUAAAAAGGAGAAAAACAAUGUUGGCAGUCCUACAAUAAUGAAUAAAACUGGCACUGGCAAAAUUUCUUCCUUCAGGAAAUAAGGACUCCUGAGGCAGGCGGAGAGUCUCUAAUGUGGGAAUUUAAAUCUUUAGAAGAUAUUUUUAACUGGUAUUUCAUUAACGAUGUCUCAUGAGGGAGGGGAGAAAUAAGGAUAUCUACUUUUAAAAGAGCUGCAGUGGAUCACUCCUCAUUCAUUCCCUCUGGGAGAUGCACAGGGACCUGUGGUGUCUUCGUGAAACGAACAUUGGCACAAGCAGGCACAAAGCCCCAGAAACCACCAUGAGCCCAUGGAAGAUUAGGUGAAGGCCUGGACACCUGCAGUGGUCACAACACGUUGCCAAACAGCUUCUGGGUUGUUUGGAUUUCAUAAUUUCUACCCAGAAAACUCAGCUGAAGCCUGCACAGCUCUCCCAUCCAGGUGACAAGGAAAAAUUCUGCCUUCCUCUUUGUGUCAGCUCUGACAGUCACAGAGUGUACUCCUGACCCAAGAAAAGCCUUUUCAGCCGGAGCACUCACACCUAACUAGUGCUUAUCCUCUGCAAAUGCUUAGAAACAAGGAGGAACAGAAGGCCAUGGAGGUGUGUGUUUCAAUGCUGGACUUUCUAAAUGAAUCUAAAUGACACGGGGCCUCCUUCCACUGAGUUACUUAGGUACUUUGAAACAAAACACUCCCCUCCAAACGGUAUCAGUAGUCCACAGUACCUACAGGUGUAACAGGAGUUUCCACAUUAACCCCUCAGUUGCCUACCAGCACAAAUGUACCUGCCAAGAGAAAAUUAGGACAAGGAAGUGUUUGCUGUUUUCCAGGUGACAAAAAAAAUCCUGUGAGGGAUUUUUCAGGGAUUCUCAGACACAGUCAUAUUUAACCUCUGAUAGAAAUGUUCAUCAGAGUGUUUAAAGCUUGCUGAUACAUCUAAUGUUGUUUUACUGUGCUUUGUGGGCACUUAAAAACUUUUUUGUGGCCAAAGUAAUCCUUAGGAGUCACUGACGGAGGAGGUUCAGGGCUUCAGCUUGCACUGGCUCUGGCCAGCCCUCAGUCCUAACACUGAAGAAAUGUGCAGUGGAUGAGGAAACCUUUAACUGAAACAGCUCCCAAAGAAGGGAGUUUGUAAGGAAAUAAGGACAAAUAAUGGAUCUGCAGAGGGAUGAUGUGCUUCACAAAAGCAACUGAAGGAGUUUCAAAGAGAUUUGAGAGUUUGAUUACACGCUGAUGAUACUCCUGUUGCAAGGUGAGUGGAAGUCUAGCUUGAUCUAAUUAGCUAAAACUGGAACAUGAGGACAGAACUGACAGUGCUGGGAUGUUUUGGGAGGUGCUGUCAUUUAGCAAAUGUGACCAACUCAAAACUCCAGUGAGAGAACAGUAUGAUAAGAGAGGUUAAUGAGCCCAAAGUCACCCCUCCUUUUCUAAAUCUAAAUUAAAAUCUGUUUCUGAAAGUCGGUUGAAACUGUGCAUAUGUAUCAGUGGAGCACUGGAUUCAUAAUUUUGCCUGUUAGUAGAGGAUUGGCAUCAUUCAAAUUUACAACUGUAUUUGGAUUGUUUUGGUUAUCAAACUAUAAGAAGGUGCAUGGUGAAACAUGGGAAAAUUACUAGAAAUAUAUCCUAAAAAAAAACUGGAAAUACGAUGUUGAGACUUGUCAGUGGAUCACAAUUUGGGGUGAUGUACACCAAUUUAAGUUUGCGGAUGAAGUAUGGAUUGAAUGAGCAUACAUUUAAUGCUUUUUUUUUGGUUAAGCCAUUUUAGAGUUUGUAUGGUUAAGUAAUCAACAAGAAUGUUUAUCAACAUUUACUGUCUAUUUAUAUGUUAAUAAAACAUGUAGAAAUAAUUCUGUAGGAUGAUAUUUUUUAGGAGCUUGAUUAAUAUUUCUAAAAUUAGUAAGCAGCUCUUGAGAGCUAUAAUUUACUACCAUUGACACCCACCUAUCUCUUCCGCAGCCCUAAAUUAUAUGGCUCAUUACUUACAAGACUGAGCAUUGGUGGUGUUGUGGUACUAACUCCAAUGUUAGGUUUUAGUACUUCUGUACAAUAAGUCUCUCUUCUCCAAUUAAUUAAUUCAAAUUCUGACUUCACAUCCUAACAAUCUUUAUUACAAGGACUGGUCCUAAAUAAAGGCUAAGAUCAAGCAGACACGUGUUGAAAAUACUGGAACAAGUAGUGAGAAAAAAUAGCAGAGUACAUGUAGUUGUGCAAGUAAAUAAAGAAAUUCUUUGUUAUUUUUGGCAAGAGGUGGAGAAGCAUGUGAUGUCCAGUUGUAGCUGUAGCCAAGGAUUUAUCUUGGGGUUAAAUACUUUAUAGGCAAACAGUAAUUCCUUUUUCGCCCCACAUCAGCUGAACACUAUUUUGGGUCAAGAAUGCUGUUUGCAGAAGUUGACCAGUCCUACAACCAACCACUAAUAUUUAAGUGAUGUAUAAUAUUAGGGACAUGUUGUAACUGAGGGUGUAUCCUGUUAUUUUGUGAAGAGUUGAGCAAGGCAAAAUGCUGAACUGUAACGCUGGAUGCAAACUGGUCAAUACAUUUGCUCCGUCCUGUUACCUCUAUAGU